UUCCGGUUGAUCCUGCCGGAGGCCAUUGCUAUUGGGAUUCGAUUUAGCCAUGCUAGUCGCACGAGUUCAGACUCGUGGCGAAUAGCUCAGUAACACGUGGCCAAACUACCCUUCGGAACACAAUACCCUCGGGAAACUGAGGCUAAUAGUGUAUACCGCAUCACACCUGGAAUGAGUGAUGCGCCAAACGCUCCGGCGCCGAAGGAUGUGGCUGCGGCCGAUUAGGUAGACGGUGGGGUAACGGCCCACCGUGCCAAUAAUCGGUACGGGUCAUGAGAGUGAGAACCCGGAGACGGAAUCUGAGACAAGAUUCCGGGCCCUACGGGGCGCAGCAGGCGCGAAACCUUUACACUGCACGACAGUGCGAUAAGGGAAUCCCAAGUGCGUAGGCAUAGAGCCUACGCUUUUGUCCACCGUAGGGAGGUGGACGAAUAAGGGCUGGGCAAGACCGGUGCCAGCCGCCGCGGUAAUACCGGCAGCCCGAGUGAUGGCCGAUCUUAUUGGGCCUAAAGCGUCCGUAGCUGGCCGCGCAAGUCUAUCGGAAAAUCCACCCGCUCAACGGGUGGGCGUCCGGUAGAAACUGCGUGGCUUGGGACCGGAAGGCGCGACGGGUACGUCCGGGGUAGGAGUGAAAUCCUGUAAUCCUGGACGGACCGCCGAUGGCGAAAGCACGUCGCGAAGACGGAUCCGACAGUGAGGGACGAAAGCUAGGGUCUCGAACCGGAUUAGAUACCCGGGUAGUCCUAGCCGUAAACAAUGCCUGUUAUGUGUGGCUCCCACUACGAGUGGGUGCUGUGCCGUAGGGAAGCCGCUAAACAGGCCGCCUGGGAAGUACGUCCGCAAGGAUGAAACUUAAAGGAAUUGGCGGGGGAGCACUACAACCGGAGGAGCCUGCGGUUUAAUUGGAUUCAACGCCGGA
rnacentral:rRNA from 1 species